CAGAGAGGCGUGAACUAUGGAGUCGUCGAAUUGGUUGACCGCCCAUGGCCUAUCAUUAUGCAGAGGUGCCUACUCAAGCUCUGGGGGAUGUUAGAUGAGAGCAAUGAUGAUAGGCAAGCAAAUGAUGAAGAGAUAAGCAGACUUAAAAUGGAUAAUGAACAAGUGAACCUUAAGCUCGAGAAUCUUGUUGUAGCUGUGUUAAGAACUAAUGUAACUACCAUGAAGAUUGACAGGCAGAAGAAGCGGAUGGGUAUCGUUGAUAAAGACGUCAAGCUCAUUCAGAGGUCUCUCACAAGUGCCAUUCAUAAUCUUAAGGACGACAAGGGUGAGAUUAAGCUGGACAGGGAUUUUCUGAAGGAGGAGGAGCAUAAGCUGAAGGAGAAUAGAAAGAAGAUGCAAAGCGUCAUCUGUGAUCUUUUGGGGCAAGGGUUUGUGAACACUGAUGACCUCCUGAUGAUCAAGGCUAUCCUCGAAGAA
rnacentral:rRNA from 1 species